UCGCCUGUUUUAUCAAAAACAUCGCCUCUUGCAAAAUCAAUGAAUAAGAGGUCCCGCCUGCCCUGUGACUAUAAGUUUAACGGCCGCGGUAUUUUGACCGUGCGAAGGUAGCGCAAUCACUUGUCUUUUAAAUGGAGACCUGUAUGAAUGGCAUAACGAGGGCUUAGCUGUCUCCUAUUUCCAGUCAAUGAAAUUGAUCUCCCCGUGCAGAAGCGGGGAUACGCACAUAAGACGAGAAGACCCUAUGGAGCUUUAGACACCAAAGCAGACCAUGUUAAGCAUCCCAAAACAAAGAACCAAACCAAAUGAUCCCUGCUCUAAUGUCUUUGGUUGGGGCGACCGCGGGGAAAUACAAAACCCCCACGUGGAACGAGAACACCUCCUCUCACAACCAAGAGCUCCCGCUCUAGUAAACAGAAAUUCUGACCAAUCAGAUCCGGCACAAGCCGAUCAACGGACCGAGUUACCCUAGGGAUAACAGCGCAAUCCCCUUUUAGAGGCCAUAUCGACAAGGGGGUUUACGACCUCGAUGUUGGAUCAGGACAUCCUAAUGGUGCAGCCGCUAUUAAGGGUUCGUUUGUUCAACGAUUAAAGUCCUACGUGAUCUGAGUCCAGACCGGA
rnacentral:rRNA from 1 species